rnacentral:rRNA from 1 species
AUACAGAGGGUGCGAGCGUUAAUCGGAAUUACUGGGCGUAAAGCGCGCGUAGGCGGCUUGGUCUGUCGGAUGUGAAAGCCCCGGGCUCAACCUGGGAAUGGCAUUCGAUACUGCCAGGCUAGAGUAUGGGAGAGGGAAGUGGAAUUUCCGGUGUAGCGGUGAAAUGCGUAGAUAUCGGAAGGAACACCAGUGGCGAAGGCGACUUCCUGGCCCAAUACUGACGCUGAGGUGCGAAAGCGUGGGGAGCGAACAGGAUUAGAUACCCUAGUAGUCC